rnacentral:lncRNA from 1 species
UUCCCCUGCUGCCUUAGCAGUGGUUUCACCCUUUCCUUGCAAAGCUUCCCUGCAGGAUGGCUGAGGGCAUCCUGUGGAGGGGAGCAAGUCCGAGGAGGAGGCAGGCAGGGAGAGCAUCCCCCCUCCGAGCUGCCGCUGCUGCUGAAGCCGUGCAGGAGCCGUCGGUGUGGCUCCCCAGAGUUAGUUGCUCAGCAACCAGAAUCAAUUAAUAUGCUUUGCAGAAAGUGCAGGGGAAGCCCGCGCUGCUGUCAGCGAGAAGGCAGGAGGCUGAGGGUGACUCAGGAUCCCACCCCAACCUGACACCCAUUCAGUCCCACCCCAUCCUCUCCAAGCCCCGUGUUAGCUACUAUUCUUUAUCCCUUUUUCUUUCCCUACAAUGAUUUAGAGACUGUGCCCCCAAAUCCUUCAGGCAAGGCAGCUCCUUGCUCAAGAACUCCCCUGCUUCAAGGGUUUUGCUGUUAGAUCUCAUUUGGGGUUAUUUCCCAAGCUUUCUCCAAUGCUUUUCUAGAAAUUCUAAUGUUCAUGUUCACUGGGAAGGGAAAGGGACAGCUGAUGCUUUGAUCAGAUCAUUUAAAAGAUUCCUCAGGAUGAGAAGGGUUGUUUGGUAGCACACGGUUGGCAGCAGUAAUGAAAAUGCAUCAUGUGUGAAUUGGGAAAGUUUUUGUCUCUUCCUUUAUUACAGUCCCUCUGAUGACACCACGAAUCUGGGAAUGAAGAACUUCUUCGUGCUGAUUGGAAAUGGCAUUGCGGAGCUGAAACUUAACUGGCGGAAAUAUAUCUCCUGAAGAAGAAAAUAUAAUGCACUUUAAGGAUCUGGCUUCUGGUGAAAAAUUCAAGCCUAGAGAAAACUUGUCCGCUUUGUUAGGAAGAAUGGGUUGGACAAUUUUCCUCAAUUCCACAGGAUAUCUGAGUGCCAUGCUGAGCUUAAUCUCUGCAGCAUGCUCUGUGCUUCUCAUCUCUUCCUGAUGCACUGCAUGGUCAGCUCUUUAAUUGCAAGCUCCCUGAAGGGCCAUCUUCAGCACUACACAUUGUAUAUCCCUAUAUUGCUGAUACUGAACAGCAGUUCCUACCAGCUCUAUGGUAGAUGGCUACAACUUAUUUUUGCUCCUAAAAGAGAGCCCCGGAGAUGCCUUUGAAAUAGAAAAUGAAGUGUUGAGAUCUGAAAUGAUAGGAGAUAUUUUAACAUUUCAUUCCUUCAUCUAGCUGUUUCAGGUAAUGCUAC